GGCACCCUUUUCCCGUGAGUGUGGGUAUUGGCUUGCGGGUGUGACGGUUAUUUUUUCAUCAUUUUUAGGCAAUUUUUCAUUUAAAUGACGCUAUGCAUCCAUUCUAUUGAGUGCUGCCGUGUCUUUAUCAAGCGAAGCAGAAUAUAGGCUACGUGUUGUGAGAAUACAUUUCCAAUCUUCUGUCUCACUUGAAGAGAGGUCCCUGGAUAAAGGAUAUACCGGCGCAGCGGGACUGCAGUUACCCAUCGCCGCACCUCGCUGAGCAGAUGCGCGUCGUACGGCUUGCGUUUUACUUCACUUUGAGCCCCAGCUCUCUGUCUGUGUGUGGCAUUGCCUUGAGACGGCAGCUCCUUGUGCAAGAGAAAUGAACGUCUGAAGGUCUGUCUGCCAGGGACACCAUCAGCCUCUGUGCUGCCAGAACAGCCAGGAAAUCAUAAAUUAUGGUGAUGGGAGAAGGUUUUUAAUGGAAACCCCCUACAAGUUUAAGGUUACACAUUCAUUGUAGAAACUAAGUGGAAAUAUUAAUUAAUUAAUUAAUUUAUUUAUUUAUUUAUUUAUUUAUUUAUUUAUUUAAUGAAUGUAUUUAAUGUAUUUCAUUUGAACAUGAGACAAGGGAGUGGGCUUGAUGGGAAAAAAGCUCCCCUGAAUUCUGCAAAGUUUUGGACAUACAAGCCAUUUUGGGUGAGGAUAUGCACAUUGUAGAGAUGCACACUAUUAAUUGUCCCAGGCAAGAGCUUUAUUUCCUCAGAUACCCUUGAAAUGGUGACAGAGAAGUUGCUUUCCAUACUCUAUUCUCUCUAAACUCUAUUAUGUUGUGUUGAAUAGCGUUGCUAAAUAAUGCAUUCAAGAAUUCUUAUUCCUACCUAGGCUGCACAGCCUUGUUUGCCAUUGUUUGAGUUAGAAGAAUAUUUUUCUUGUGCAGUUUGUUGGACCUACAUAUAUCAGAAGGUAUUUUUUGUUGUGGUCUUCUGAAUUCAGGAAUAACAAAAUAUAUCUGUUAUAUGCUAACAAGCAAACAACACACAAAGGUGACAAGUGACUGUGCUGUAUUUCUUUAUACCAAUAGGUGCAAUAUGGAACAGUGCUCGUAAUAUCAACAACUCUGAAGUGAGUUCUGUCUAAAAUGUCUUGCAAGUUACCUGAUAAUGAAGCCCCACUGCCCAGACUGAAUUAAGGGCAACAUACUGAACUCGCUGACCUGAGCUUGCUAAAGCAGAGAUGCAGAGCAGGGGGGGUUCCUCUCUGCCAUGGAGUUACGGAGAGGUCAGACUGAGACGCAGAGUCUCCUCACUCGAGCUGAAAACACCAUCAACCCUUUUUGGAGGAGCCACCUGCACAGGAUCCGCAUCAGUGCGCUCAACAUGGGAUCAAGCCAUUAAAUUCGAAUGGAGGAACGCUACGCAACGCUAAGCCUGGCAUAGCGCACAGCUCAAACUUAAUGCCGAGCUGCGCCUCCAAUCACAUCACAGCUUUGCGUGAAGCUGGCAGAUGUAAACACGGAAAAAACAUUUUGGGAUAAGCCCAGGAUUUUCGGUUUCGCACCGCAAGUUCACAAUUUAGCCUUACACCGCAGACAACCUACUACUGUCAGCGCUUGUUACAGUUUUCCAAACCGACGGCUUUCCUGUAUGUGUGACGUCAAGCUUCAACAGCUUGAGGCACUCGAUUUGUCUCGUGCGUAGUCAGCGCCUUACUUGGCGUCAUCCGCAGCAUUUGAUUCUUGUUGUGUGAAAGCGGCUUUACAUAUCAAACACUCUGUCUGCAGGCUGCAACUCCAGUGCUUCUGAUCUCUCCAGGUGGAUGGCUGGAUGAUAGAUAUUAACAGCUCCCUGCUCCCCUCUCACAUCUCCCUGGGUCCAGCUGCUUGCCUGUCCGUCAGCUGUGGGACUUGCAUUUAGAGAGCCAUCUCUGCUCACUGGUCCGCGCUGAAACAAAAUGGCAAAUAACGACAUAAAAAUGCAGAUGAGCAGUUCCCCACUUUCAAGGUUCAGGAGUGCCGAGAGAUUAGGAGCCAAGCAGAGUGUACUGCGCUUGGAGUGAACCUGGAAUGACCACUGUCCGUGCAACGCAAUUAUUUAUUUUCUAGAGGCUAUUAAAAGCAAUCUAAUACAGUGACUAAUUUAAACUGAACGAGGAUUUUUGGAAUGGAACUGAAUGUUCCCUGUACUGUUUUAUUGCUUGCUGACAGUUUCAUUGUAAAACGCUCCAACAUGGCCUGGAGGUAAUGGAAUACAUUGGGACGUAAGGCUCCUCACCACUAUCCAUGUGUCCACUCAAACCUCAGGUGCUGCAGUGGGUCAAGCCUGCAGGGAAAUCAGCAUAUAUGCAUAUAUACGCACACCAGCCACUUUAUUAGGGUAUACCUCUCUAAUACAGGGUAGUACCCCACCUUUGCCCCCAGAAAAGCAUGAAUGUCUUGCUAAAUGGAUUCAACAAGGUCAUGGAAACAUUCCUUAGGGAGUUUUGUCCAUACUGCCUCAACGGCAUCACACAGUUCCUGCAGAUUUUUGGGCCACACAUUGAUGUGGCAAACCUCCCAUUCCACCUCAUCCCAAAGGUGUUCUAUUGCAUUGAGAUCUGUGCAGACCACUGGAGUAAACUGUCACUGUCAUGUUCAUGGAAUCAACUU